rnacentral:rRNA from 1 species
UACGUAGGGUGCAAGCGUUGUCCGGAAUUAUUGGGCGUAAAGAGCUCGUAGGCGGUCUGUCGCGUCUGCUGUGAAAACUCAGGGCUUAACCCUGAGCUUGCAGUGGGUACGGGCAGACUAGAGUGCGGUAGGGGAGACUGGAAUUCCUGGUGUAGCGGUGAAAUGCGCAGAUAUCAGGAGGAACACCGGUGGCGAAGGCGGGUCUCUGGGCCGAUACUGACGCUGAGGAGCGAAAGCCAGGGGAGCAAACGGG